UCCUGGCUCAGGACGAACGCUGGCGGCGUGCCUAAUACAUGCAAGUCGAACGAGACUUUUUAUUUGAUGCUUGCAUCUUUUAAAAAGUUGAGUGGCGAACGGGUGAGUAACACGUGGGUAACCUGCCUUAAAGUGGGGGAUAACACUUGGAAACAGGUGCUAAUACCGCAUAACCAUCAAAACCACCUGGUUUUGAUGUUAAAGAUGGUUCUGCUAUCGCUUUAAGAUGGACCCGCGGCGUAUUAGCUAGUUGGUGAGGUAAUGGCUUACCAAGGCAAUGAUACGUAGCCGAACUGAGAGGUUGAUCGGCCACAUUGGGACUGAGACACGGCCCAAACUCCUACGGGAGGCAGCAGUAGGGAAUCUUCCACAAUGGACGAAAGUCUGAUGGAGCAACGCCGCGUGAGUGAAGAAGGUUUUCGGAUCGUAAAACUCUGUUGUCAGAGAAGAACGUGUGUGAGAGUAACUGUUCACGCAGUGACGGUAUCUGACCAGAAAGUCACGGCUAACUACGUGCCAGCAGCCGCGGUAAUACGUAG
rnacentral:rRNA from 2 species